rnacentral:tRNA from 1 species
GGUUUUAUAGUCAAUAAAGAUUUUAAAUUGCAAAUUUAAAGAUGAAUAAGUAAGUUCUUAAACCU